UAGGGAAUAUUGCUCAAUGGGGGAAACCCUGAAGCAGCAACGCCGCGUGGAGGAUGAAGGUUUUCGGAUUGUAAACUCCUUUUGUUAGAGAAGAUAAUGACGGUAUCUAACGAAUAAGCACCGGCUAACUCCGUGCC
rnacentral:rRNA from 1 species